CAGAUUUUCCGUGGCUGAGCAAGACAGCUGUCAAAUUGGCAGUGGAGCAUUAAGAGGGAGCUUAAAAGAAAUAAUCAAAAUACAACAGAGAGGAAAACGAUUGGAUCAGUGAAAGCAGAUGGUUUAUUGACACGGAGUAACCCUGAAGGGCUCACCGCCUUGUAGGAAAAAGGCCCUCUUACUCAUAAAAGUCUACAAACAAAGGCAACUACAUUUUAAGAGUAUUUUAGAGACUGCACAAUUUUUUGUUGUUGAAACACACACAAACCCAGACAGACAGCAGGCCGAUGUGCAAAUCUAGGAAUUUCCGGAUAGAUUGGAUGGAUUUUGCAACCACACUAAAUUGGCAUUAUUGGAUCUUUCUAUCCAUCGAACAAUUUUUUGACUGAUUAGGAGGCUAAGAGGUAAUUUUUCCUGCCCGUUUCCAGAGGCAGCUACUCAAAAAAUCCAGUUUGGGUGAGUAUAAUGAAUUUUGCUCUGGGGCCAAGUUGAGUUCCAGACUCUGGUUUUGCAAGGGGUGAUGAUGGAUCAACACUUGCUGAUUCCACCCCACCCAAAAAAGUGAACCCUGAAAUUGUGGGAAAAUGGGAGAAAAAAAACAUGCAGGCAGGUAUAAAUUUAGGGUAAUCUAAUUCAGGGGUUUUCAAACGGUGUAAUUUCACGAGGAGCUUUUAAAAAGGAAAAAAAAAGUAGUACUUUCUAGACUUUUAUUUUUUUUUAACUUGAUCCAUGCUGGGGCUUUUUUCCUUUUUUAUGAAGAGACCUGAAAAAGUUUGAAAUCCAACAAUCUACUUUUGAACGGGGCUUAUUGGAUAAGCCUGUUUUGCAUUGCAAUAUAUAUAAAACACCUAUUGGAUAAGGUUCUUCACCUGCCAUGUUGGAUUUUCAGUUGAAUUAAUACUGCUGGGUUGUUGUUGUUUUUUCAACGCCUGCUACUGUUUUAGGUUUUUUUUUUUCUCUUUUCUUAAAAAAAAUAUUGCGAA
rnacentral:lncRNA from 1 species